UCCUUGGUGGUCUAAUAUUAGGUCUCUGCACUGUCACUGCCAAAGGCCCAGGUUUGAUCCCUGGUCAGGGAA
rfam:TPA: Bos taurus chromosome 15, whole genome shotgun sequence.